rnacentral:rRNA from 1 species
AAUCACUUGUCCCUUAAAUGAGGACCCGUAUGAAUGGUUUGACGAAGGCUUAACUGUCUCCUCUCCCUAAUCAAUGAAAUUGAUCUCUCCGUGCAAAAGCGGAGAUAAUUACAUAAGACGAGAAGACCCUGUGGAGCUUAAGAUAAUUUAUAGCCUACGCUAAGACACCUUAAUAAAGAAUUUAAGCAAAAAGACUCUAUAAAACAUCUUCAGUUGGGGCGACUGCGGAGAAUACAAAACCUCCGCGAAGAUUAGGGACACUAAUUCCUUAAAACCUAGAACAACCAUUCAAAACAAUAGAACUUCUAACUUUUAUUGAUCCAAUCUGUUGAUCAACGAACCAAGUUACCCCAGGGAUAACAGCGCAAUCCCCUUCCAGAGUCCCUAUCGACAAGGGGGUUUACGACCUCGAUGUUGGAUCAGGACAUCCUAAUGGUGCAGCCGCUAUUAAGGGUUCGUUUGUUCAACG